rnacentral:rRNA from 1 species
GUUAGCGGCGGACGGGUGAGUAACACGUGGGUAACCUGCCUGUAAGACUGGGAUAACUCCGGGAAACCGGGGCUAAUACCGGAUGGUUGUUUGAACCGCAUGGUUCAGACAUAAAAGGUGGCUUCGGCUACCACUUACAGAUGGACCCGCGGCGCAUUAGCUAGUUGGUGAGGUAACGGCUCACCAAGGCAACGAUGCGUAGCCGACCUGAGAGGGUGAUCGGCCACACUGGGACUGAGACACGGCCCAGACUCCUACGGGAGGCAGCAGUAGGGAAUCUUCCGCAAUGGACGAAAGUCUGACGGAGCAACGCCGCGUGAGUGAUGAAGGUUUUCGGAUCGUAAAGCUCUGUUGUUAGGGAAGAACAAGUGCCGUUCAAAUAGGGCGGCACCUUGACGGUACCUAACCAGAAAGCCACGGCUAACUACGUGCCAGCAGCCGCGGUAAUACGUAGGUGGCAAGCGUUGUCCGGAAUUAUUGGGCGUAAAGGGCUCGCAGGCGGUUUCUUAAGUCUGAUGUGAAAGCCCCCGGCUCAACCGGGGAGGGUCAUUGGAAACUGGGGAACUUGAGUGCAGAAAAGGAGAGUGGAAUUCCACGUGUAGCGGUGAAAUGCGUAUAGAUGUGGA